GACGAACGCUGGCGGCGUGCUUAACACAUGCAAGUCGAACGGAAAGGCCCUGCUUUUGUGGGGUGCUCGAGUGGCGAACGGGUGAGUAACACGUGAGUAACCUGCCCUUGACUUUGGGAUAACUUCAGGAAACUGGGGCUAAUACCGGAUAGGAGCUCCUGCUGCAUGGUGGGGGUUGGAAAGAUUCGGCGGUUGGGGAUGGACUCGCGGCUUAUCAGCUUGUUGGUGGGGUAGUGGCUUACCAAGGCUUUGACGGGUAGCCGGCCUGAGAGGGUGACCGGCCACAUUGGGACUGAGAUACGGCCCAGACUCCUACGGGAGGCAGCAGUGGGGAAUAUUGCACAAUGGGCGGAAGCCUGAUGCAGCAACGCCGCGUGCGGGAUGACGGCCUUCGGGUUGUAAACCGCUUUCGCCUGUGACGAAGCGCGAGUGACGGUAAUGGGUAAAGAAGCACCGGCUAACUACGUG
rnacentral:rRNA from 1 species